ensembl:snoRNA SNORD115 Small nucleolar RNA SNORD115
GGGUCAAUGAUGAGAAUUCAUAUUGUCUCAAAGAGAGAUGAUGACCUAAAAAUCAUGCUCAAUAGGAUUACGCUGAGGCCC